rnacentral:rRNA from 1 species
AUUGAACGCUGGCGGCAUGCCUUACACAUGCAAGUCGAACGGUAACAGGUCUUCGGAUGCUGACGAGUGGCGAACGGGUGAGUAAUACAUCGGAACGUGCCUAGUAGUGGGGGAUAACUACUCGAAAGAGUGGCUAAUACCGCAUGAGAUCUACGGGUGAAAGCAGGGGAUCGCAAGACCUUGUGCUACUAGAGCGGCCGAUAGCAGAUUAGGUAGUUGGUGGGAUAAAAGCUUACCAAGCCGACGAUCUGUAGCUGGUCUGAGAGGACGAUCAGCCACCCUGGGACUCAGACACGGCACAGACGCCUACUGGAGGCAGCAGUGGGGAAUUUUGGACAAUGGGCGAAAGCCUGAUCCAGCAAUGCCGCGUGCAGGAUGAGGGCCUUCGGGUUGUAAACUGCUUUUGUACGGAACGAAAAGCCCCGGGUUAAUACCCUGGGGUCAUGACGGUACCGUAAGAAUAAGCACCGGCUAACUACGUGCCAGCAGCCGCCGUAA